rnacentral:rRNA from 1 species
AGUUUGAUCAUGGCUCAGAUUGAACGCUGGCGGCAGGCCUAACACAUGCAAGUCGAGCGGCAGCGGGAAAGUAGCUUGCUACUUUUGCCGGCGAGCGGCGGACGGGUGAGUAAUGCCUGGGAAAUUGCCCAGUCGAGGGGGAUAACAGUUGGAAACGACUGCUAAUACCGCAUACGCCCUACGGGGGAAAGCAGGGGACCUUCGGGCCUUGCGCGAUUGGAUAUGCCCAGGUGGGAUUAGCUAGUUGGUG